CCCCUCUCUUCUCUCCCUCUCCAUGUUCCCUGGUCCAGGCAGCAGCAGUGACUCAGCCAUCCUCGAUGUCAGCCAAUGUGGGAGACACCGUCAGGAUCACCUGCUCUGGAGCUAGCUAUGGCAACUAUGGCUGGUACCAGCAGAAGGUCCCUGGCACUGCCCCUGUCACUGUGAUCUACAACAGUAACCAGAGACCCUCGGGCAUUCCUUCGCGAUUCUCCGGAUCCUAUUCCAGCUCCACGGGCACGUUAACCAUCACUGGGGUCCAAGCCGAGGACGAGGCUGUCUAUUACUGUGGUAGCAGUGACAGCAGCAGUGGCAGUUGGUUCCCUGGUCCAGGCAGCGCUGACUCAGCAGCCAUCCGAGAUAUCGGCCAAGGUCGGAGACACCGUCAGGAUCACCUGCACUGGUAGCAGCAGCAGCUAUAGCUGGCACCAGCAAUGCCCCUGUCACUCUGAUCUACUACAGUGACAAGAGGCCCUCGGACAUCCCUUCGCGAUUCUCCGGAUCCAAGUCCGGCUCCACGGGCACGUUAACCAUCACUGGGGUCCAAGCCGAGGACGAGGCUGUCUAUUACUGUGGUAGCUAU